rnacentral:rRNA from 1 species
GAUCAUUAUUGAAUAAACCUGAUGAGUUGCUGCUGGUUCUCCAAAGGAGCAUGUGCACACUUGUCAUCUUUAUAUCUCCACCUGUGCACCUUUUGUAGACCUGGAUAUCUCUGAGUGCUUAGCACUCAGGUUGGAGGAUUGACUUUUCUGUCUCUCCUUGGCAUUUUCAGGCCUAUGUUUCUUCAAAUACCCCAAAUGUAUGUCAUAGAAUGUAAAUACAAAUGGGCCUUUGUGCCUAUAAAUCUUAUACAACUUUCAGCAACGGAUCUCUUGGCUCUCGCAUCGAUGAAGAACGCAGCGAAAUGCGAUAAGUAAUGUGAAUUGCAGAAUUCAGUGAAUCAUCGAAUCUUUGAACGCACCUUGCGCUCCUUGGUAUUCCGAGGAGCAUGCCUGUUUGAGUGUCAUUAAUAUAUAUCAACCUCCUCAACUUGCUUGUCGAGUGUUUGGAUGUGGGGGGUCUUUUUUUGGUGGUCUCUUUUCUGAGAUCAGCUCCCCUGAAAUGCAUUAGCGGAACAAUUUGUGGAACGCUUCAUUGGUGUGAUAACUAUCUACGCUGUUGACGUUAAGCAGUUCAGCUUCUAACAGUCCAUUGACUUGGACAAAUGUAUCAUUAAUGUGACCUCAAAUCAGGUAGG